rnacentral:rRNA from 1 species
CCUACGGGAGGCAGCAGUGGGGAAUAUUGCACAAUGGGCGCAAGCCUGAUGCAGCCAUGCCGCGUGUGUGAAGAAGGCCUUCGGGUUGUAAAGCACUUUCAGCGGGGAGGAAGGCGGUGAGGUUAAUAACCUCAUCGAUUGACGUUACCCGCAGAAGAGGCACCGGCUAACUCCGUGCCAGCAGCCGCGGUAAUACGGAGGGUGCAAGCGUUAAUCGGAAUUACUGGGCGUAAAGCGCACGCAGGCGGUCUGUCAAGUCGGAUGUGAAAUCCCCGGGCUCAACCUGGGAACUGCAUUCGAAACUGGCAGGCUAGAGUCUUGUAGAGGGGGGUAGAAUUCCAGGUGUAGCGGUGAAAUGCGUAGAGAUCUGGAGGAAUACCGGUGGCGAAGGCGGCCCCCUGGACAAAGACUGACGCUCAGGUGCGAAAGCGUGGGGAGCAAACAGGAUUAGAUACCCGGGUAGUC